UACGUAGGGUGCAAGCGUUAAUCGGAAUUACUGGGCGUAAAGCGUGCGCAGGCGGCUUUGCAAGACAGAUGUGAAAUCCCCGGGCUCAACCUGGGACCUGCAUUUGUGACUGCAUCGCUAGAGUACGGUAGAGGGGGAUGGAAUUCCGCGUGUAGCAGUGAAAUGCGUAGAUAUGCGGAGGAACACCGAUGGCGAAGGCAAUCCCCUGGACCUGUACUGACGCUCAUGCCCGAAAGCGUGGGGAGCAAACAGG
rnacentral:rRNA from 1 species